rnacentral:lncRNA from 1 species
AGAAGCUGAUUUUUUUACCCUUUUUUUCCUUUAUCUUAUUUUAUUAAUCUCCCUUUUUUUAUUAAUUUUACCAUAUUUUAGCUCAACAUAAUUUAUUUUAUUUUGCUUAUUUGAUUACUCUGUUUUUAGCUAGUUAAAAAAAAAAUAAAUAAAUAAAAAUAAAAAUAAGGAAUAACCCUUACGUUUUAAUUUGAAAUGUUGAAAUGAGUAAUAUAUUAAAUCACUUCCGUGUUUUAAAGGUAGUUACUGAAGAUAAUCCGUUAGUGACAUUUAAUUUAUUUGUAGCUAGUACGAAAGAUAAUACGAAUAAUGAUGGAUCAUGUAGUGAAAUAUUAUGUGUUGCUGUACUUGAUAAUAUAAUUAAUGGAGAACAUUUAAGAAAAUUUAUGACUAACUUUGGAGAUGUCGUUUUUUUUUAAUAUUACUGAGAAUGAAAAUUUAUCAAUAAACUUAAAAAUAUUUGCA